UAAAGAUUCAUCGCUGAUAGAUAGGCAUGCGUUCCAUUAGGCAGUUGGCGGGGUAACGGCCCACCAAACCGACGAUGGAUAGGGGUUCUGAGGGGAAGGUCCCCCACAUUGGUACUGAGACACGGACCAAACUCCUACGGGAGGCAGCAGUGAGGAAUAUUGGUCAAUGGGCGUAAGCCUGAACCAGCCAAGUCGCGUGAGGGAUGAAGGUUCUAUGGAUCGUAAACCUCUUUUAUAAGGGAAUAAAGUGCGGGACGUGUCCCGUUUUGUAUGUACCUUAUGAAUAAGGAUCGGCUAACUCCGUGCCAGCAGCCGCGGUAAUACGGAGGAUCCGAGCGUUAUCCGGAUUUAUUGGGUUUAAAGGGUGCGUAGGCGGCCUUUUAAGUCAGCGGUGAAAGUCUGUGGCUCAACCAUAGAAUUGCCGUUGAAACUGGGAGGCUUGAGUAUGUUUGAGGCAGGCGGAAUGCGUGGUGUAGCGGUGAAAUGCUUAGAUAUCACGCAGAACCCCGAUUGCGAAGGCAGCCUGCCAAGCCAUGACUGACGCUGAUGCACGAAAGCGUGGGGAUCAAACAGGAUUAGAUACCCUGGUAGUCCACGCAGUAAACGAUGAUCACUAGCUGUUUGCGAUACACAGUAA
rnacentral:rRNA from 1 species